AUUAAUCAUCACUAUAACUAAAAUUCGGAUAUGCAAAUCAACCCCGAACAAAAGAUCCACACCGCCCCGCGAUUCAAACGGUUUUCAGCCAAAACCGCUCGGCCGAUUUUCAAAAUUCUUUUUUCCACUGAAUCCUAGAUCCUCGAGGCUCAAACAUAAGGUCCGCUUUUUCGUAUUUUCGCUUCCGUUUUUGAGAUAUUAACGGUUUUCUCCCGGGUUCGUUCCAAAAUCUCGCGAUCACGAUUAGUGCUCUCCGUGGUCUUUGUCCCGUGUUUCUAUAGGUUCUUUCUCUCUCUUUUCUCUUGCUCUCUACAAAAGAUUUCAAAACUCCUUCCAACAGCAACCCUUCAAUUUGAACGGAGGCUUUUCAAAUUCGUUUCGCUUUCCACAAAGAAUCUACUGUGUGCCGAUAAUUUCGGUGACUUGGAAUUGGAUGAUAAUAAAUCUACGUGCACUGCUGCUUGGCAUUCCUUUUCGAACUCGAAGCGGUCGCCGACGGUCGUGUCGUGUGUUACAGCUACAGCUACAGCUACAGCUCCAGUAGUCAAUCGUGCUGGGUGUUCUCGAUCUCAGUAGCUACGUACGGUACACGCGCUGCUACCUGAUAUUUGGUUUUGCGAUGGCUGCUGGCUGUUCCGGUUCUAAACUGGCAUCAGAAUCGAUGGCAUGCGAAUACAAAUAAACGAUCGGAUUCGCUGACUUUUUGUACAACAACUAGAUCAAAGAGCAUUUCAAGCAAUAAUUACGACGCUGACGUGAUUCUCGGACCUUCGAAACGAAAUUGAUGGCAUUUAUGCUGGCGUUAAAUCAAAUGAUGAAACAAGAAAAAACUUGACUGUGGAGAAAAGGACUAAAGUUAUAUAGAUCAGCUGUUGUCCGUAAAUUGUAUUUUGUUAAUUUGUUGUUAGAGUAAGAUUCCUUUCUGAUGCACGAAA